CCUACGGGUGGCAGCAGUGAGGAAUAUUGGGCAAUGGACGAGAGUCUGAACCAGCCAAGUAGCGUGAAGGAUGACUGCCCUAUGGGUUGUAAACUUCUUUUAUAAAGGAAUAAAAUGAGGCACGUAUGCCUUUUUGCAUGUACUUUAUGAAUAAGGAUCGGCUAACUCCGUGCCAGCAGCCGCGGUAAUACGGAGGAUCCGAGCGUUAUCCUGAUUUGUUGGGUUUAAAGGGAGCGUAGGCGGGGUGUUAAGUCAGUUGUGAAAGUUUGCGGCUCAACCGUAAAAUUGCAAUUGAUACUGGCAGUCUUGAGUAGAGUGGAGGUAGGCGGAAUUCGUGGUGUAGCGGGGAAAUGCUUAGAUAUCACGAAGAACCCCGAUUGCGAAGGCAGCUUACUAAACUGUGACUGACACUGAUGCUCGAAAGUGUGGGUAUCAAACAGGAUUAGAUACCCCAGUAGUC
rnacentral:rRNA from 1 species